UAACUACUACCUCCGUCCGAAAACACUUGUCCUAAAGAUAAAUGUAUUUAGACUUAUUUUAAUUGUAGAUACAUCCAUUAUAUGCAUUUUUAGGACAAGUAUUUCUGGACGAAGGAAGUAUAAG
rfam:Hordeum vulgare subsp. vulgare, WGS project CAJW01000000 data, contig: morex_contig_60297